UCCUGCGGAUGCGCUUGCGCGUCAGGAAGCUCAGGCCCUGGAUGAGGUCGCGCAGGCCGCGGGGUAGGCAGGACUUGUAGCUGCGGUGGACCCGGCCUCAGUGCCAGGGCAGACAUCACCAGCUGACCACAGCUCCAGUCCGCCUGACACCUCCACGUCUCCCUGGCAGCCAGCCCAUCCCACCCAAGGCAGGAAUGAGCAGUUGAUCACAGAUCCACCAAUUUCCCCGACCAGGAACGGAAAAGAUUAGAGAGUCAAACAGUCUGUUUGACUAAGAUGGUAGAUCCUGGAUGGUGCAGCGCCAGGAGACAGCUACGGUACGUGUGC